rnacentral:rRNA from 1 species
GACGUAGGGCGCGAGCGUUGUUCGGAAUCAUUGGGCGUAAAGGGCGCGUAGGUGGUUCUGUAUGUCUAUCGUGAAAGCGUACGGCUCAACCGUAUUUUGUCGGUAGAAACUGCAGAGCUAGAGUCUCGGAGAGGAUCGUGGAAUUCUCGGUGUAGAGGUGAAAUUCGUAGAUAUCGAGAGGAACACCGGUGGCGAAGGCGGCAUCCUGGACCGGCAUUGACGCUGAGGCGCGAAAGCCAGGGGAGCAAACGGG